UACGAAGGGGGCUAGCGUUGUUCGGAUUUACUGGGCGUAAAGCGCGUGUAGGCGGGCUGGAAAGUUGGGGGUGAAAUCCCGAGGCUCAACCUCGGAACUGCCUCCAAAACUUCCAGCCUGGACUCAAGCAGAGGCAAGUGGAAUUGCGAGUGUAGAGGUGAAAUUCGUAGAUAUUCGCAGGAACACCAGUGGCGAAGGCGACUUGCUGGGCUUGUAGUGACGCUGAGACGCGAAAGCGUGGGGAGCAAACAGGAUUAGAAACCCCCGUAGUCC
rnacentral:rRNA from 1 species